rnacentral:rRNA from 1 species
GAUGAACGCUGGCGGCGUGCUUAACGCAUGCAAGUCGAACGGUGAACGAGGGAGCUUGCUCCCUCCGGAUCAGUGGCGAACGGGUGAGUAACACGUGAGCAAUCUGCCCUGGACUCUGGGAUAAGCGUUGGAAACGACGUCUAAUACCGGAUACGAGACGCGAAGGCAUCUUCAGCGUCUGGAAAGAACUUCGGUCCAGGAUGAGCUCGCGGCCUAUCAGGUAGUUGGUGAGGUAAUGGCUCACCAAGCCUACGACGGGUAGCCGGCCUGAGAGGGUGACCGGCCACACUGGGACUGAGACACGGCCCAGACUCCUACGGGAGGCAGCAGUGGGGAAUAUUGCACAAUGGGCGCAAGCCUGAUGCAGCAACGCCGCGUGAGGGACGACGGCCUUCAGGUUGUAAACCUCUUUUAGCAGGGAAGAAGCGAAAGUGACGGUACCUGCAGAAAAAGCACCGGCUAACUACGUGCCAGCAGCCGCGGUAAGAC